GUGACCAUACAUGAAGGAUCCAACAACUUAUGAUCAUCUUCCUCCUCCUUAAGAACAAGUUAAUUCAACAACUUUUUCAUUCAACCUCAGAUCUCUAGUUAUCUUGUAAGUUGUUUAUACAGAUUCUACAACAAGGAUGAGGUUUAUUAGGAUACUUAGAGCAAACCUUCAGUGGCGUCUUGUUGAACGGCACGCGUUCAAAUCAGCUAUCAACAUGACAUGUUUUUGAGCUUUAGAAAGAUAAAUUAAAACCGGAAAGGGAAUAAUAAAUGCUCAUGUGGGCCAACCAAAGUUACACCCUUUGAUGCCCAUGCAUGUGAACACCCUUCAAAUGUGCUUUGCUCCAAUGGAGCUCUUCCCAAGCGACGUUUCACGUGUGUCAAGAGCACCCUACUGCAACGGACUAACUAAAGGUUCAUUAGGAUCAUCGCUCGAGACGUUGGGCGUGGCCAAAGAGGCUAGCAAACAGUGGAAACAUAAAAGGAAACAAAUUGGAGAGAAUAAAUGUGCUAUUAUUGGUGGUGAUAUGAUGGUUUUAUUGCCUAGGGUACAUGUGUGUUACUACUUUUUGGUAAAAUGAAUCUGGUGUUAGAGCAUCAAUGUUUAGUGUAUAUAAGGAAUGAAUAAGCUAUCACUAUAGCAGUGGGUUUUAGUUUGGUAAGGGAAUCGAGGAUGUGCCAUGUUGAAUUUAAAUGGUGAGUAAUUUUGGAUUGUAGGUGGAUAUAUGCAGUUCAUUCAGUUACUGAAAAAAGGUGCCACAACGGAGAAGAAUAUCAUUGUACUUAUGAAGGAUGAUAUUGCUACCAAUGUUAAGAAUCUCCAACACGGGACAAUAAUAAAUCACCCAAACAGUAAAAAUGUUUACGCGGGAGUCCCAUAGAACUACACCGAUGCUGCUAUGAUGGUUGCUAAUAUCAAAGCAAUUGCUAGAGGUGAUACAUAUGGAGUAAAAGGGUGGAGUGGAAAGGUAUUAAAAAGCAGACCAAAUGAUAAAAUAUUUUUGUUUUUCAGUGGCCAUGGAUGUAACUUCUCGCUUUUGAAACCUUACUUAUUUAGAAAGAUUAUUUAUAUCCCUAUUUUUGGAAACUUAUAUCUGUAUUGUAUUCGUAUUUCACUUCCAGCUUCGUAAUUCGAAAUGUUGGUUCUAAUAAAACUUGACCAUUUUAUAAGGACUA